CUCCUAAACGUUCUGGGCUGCACGCGCAAUACAAUGAUGCUGGAAACGAGUUGGCACUCUUCUGAGGCCUGCUUCGAAAGGAGUGGGAAAUCUUUGAAAACAGCAUCGUGGCUGGGAUAGAUGAUUGCAAUUAUUUGCCUUGAACCCGGAAUGCUUAGUAAUUGCAUGUCAUCAGCAUGCAAUGACUACGUCCCUGUCAUUUGUACACACCGCCCGUCGUUGCUACCGAUUGGAUUGCUCAUAGAGAACUCAGGAGUUGCGCCGUUCCUCGCGUUCGGAUGCUUCGAAUGUGUUCAAUAUGAAUAAUCUAGAGGAAGCAAAAGUCGUAACA
rnacentral:rRNA from 1 species